CAGACCACCCGCCGCCCGGGACCCCCCCCGGGACUCCCCCGGCACCCCCCGGGACCUCCGGGCCCGCGGACAGGGCUAGGGGCCCCUGCGGGCGCCCCCCCGGGAUAGGGCUACAGCCCCCGCGCGACUCGGUGGCCGUGGCGCGCGCGGGACUCGCUUAUCCGGGAACCGCUCGGGAUUGAAUAAAGCAACGCGAUUGGAGGCCGCUCCGGAGCGGGAGAGGAUUCCCCCACCCCUGAACCGUUUUCGCGGGUCGGGGCAAGUGGUUUUGCAAAUGAGAUUUGCCACAGACAUUUGCCCUGCAAGUGGCAAAAUGCCAGGAAUGAAGAGAAAGAAAUGUUAGGAUCCGAGAAAUAAAUGAUUCACCUGGGAA